GUUAAGAGCAAGACUAGCAAAGCUUUUACGGAAGUAAGUAACAAGAUGAGGAAGUUGAGACAUGAUCAGAUUCCUCAAACCUCCAGCCGCAAAGGAUUGGUUCGUUUAGCUGAUGAUAUGAAAAAAAAGAGUUCAAACCCAAGUAAGGUGACUAGGACUAAGGUAUGGUUAGCGGGACACACUCAUGCUGAUGGUAGA